GAUGAACGCUGGCGGCGUGUCUAAGGCAUGCAAGUCGAGUGGGUUUAGACCCACGGCAAACGGGAGCGUAACACAUUGGUAACUUGCCCUCAACUGGAGGAUAACCCGCCGAAAGGCGGAGUAAUACUCCAUUAAUUGCAUGAUCAUAUGUUUGUGCAAUAAAGAUUUAUCGGUUGGGGAGAGGCCUAUGGUCUAUCAGCUAGUUGGCAGUGUAAAAGACUACCAAGGCUAUGACGGAUAUCGGGUGUGAGAGCACGACCCGACUCACUGGGACUGAGAAACUGCCCAGACACCUACGGGUGGCAG
rnacentral:rRNA from 1 species